rnacentral:rRNA from 1 species
GGCGAACGGGUGAGUAUCACGUGAGGAACCUGCCCUGAACUCUGGGAUAAGCCUGGGAAACUAGGUCUAAUACCGGAUAGGACUGAUCAUCGCAUGGUGGUUGGUGGAAAGCUUUUUGCGGUUUGGGAUGGUCUCGCGGCCUAUCAGCUUGUUGGUGGGGUAAUGGCUUACCAAGGCUUUGACGGGUAGCCGGCCUGAGAGGGUGUACGGCCACAUUGGGACUGAGAUACGGCCCAG